rnacentral:rRNA from 1 species
UACAGAGGGGGCAAGCGUUAUUCGGAAUUAUUGGGCGUAAAGGGCGCGUAGGCGGCUUGGCAAGUGGAUGGUGAAAUCCCUCGGCUUAACCGAGGAACUGCCAUCCAGACUGCUUUGCUUGAGGCCGGGAGAGGUGAGUGGAAUUCCCAGUGUAGCGGUGAAAAUGCGUAGAUAUUGGGAGGAACACCAGUGGCGAAGGCGGCUCACUGGACCGGUUCUGACGCUGAGGCGCGAAAAGCGUGGGGGAGCAAACGGGG